GGGGUUCUAGCUCAGUGGUAGAGCGCAUGCUUAGCAUGCACAAGGUCCUGGGUUCAAUCCCCGGCACCUCCA
rnacentral:tRNA from 1 species